AACACAUGCAAGUCGGACGAUCCUUCGGGAUAGUGGCGGACGGGUGAGUAACGCGUGGGAAUCUGCCCUCAGGAGGGGGAUAACGGCUGGAAACGGCCGCUAAUACCCCAUAUGCCGAGAGGUGAAAUGAAUUUCGCCUGAGGAUGAGCCCGCGUCUGAUUAGCUAGUUGGUGGGGUAAAGGCCUACCAAGGCAACGAUCAGUAGCUGGUCUGAGAGGAUGAUCAGCCACACUGGGACUGAGACACGGCCCAGACUCCUACGGGAGGCAGCAGUGGGGAAUUUUCCGCAAUGGGCGAAAGCCUGACGGAGCAACGCCGCGUGAGGGAUGAAGGCCUCUGGGCUGUAAACCUCUUUUCUCAAGGAAGAAGACCUGACGGUACUUGAGGAAUAAGCCACGGCUAAUUCCGUGCCAGCAGCCGCGGUAAUACGGGAGUGGCAAGCGUUAUCCGGAAUUAUUGGGCGUAAAGCGUCCGCAGGCGGCCUUGUAAGUCUGUUGUUAAAGCGUGGAGCUCAACUCCAUUUAAGCAAUGGAAACUACAAGGCUGGAGUGUGGUAGGGGCAGAGGGAAUUCCCGGUGUAGCGGUGAAAUGCGUAGAUAUCGGGAAGAACACCAGUGGCGAAGGCGCUCUGCUGGGCCAUAACUGACGCUCAUGGACGAAAGCCAGGGGAGCGAAAGGGAUUAGAUACCCCUGUAGUCCUGGCCGUAAACGAUGAACACUAGGUGUCGGGGGAAUCGACCCCCUCGGUGUCGUAGCCAACGCGUUAAGUGUUCCGCCUGGGGAGUACGCACGCAAGUGUGAAACUCAAAGGAAUUGACGGGGGCCCUCACAAGCGGUGGAGUAUGUGGUUUAAUUCGAUGCAACGCGAAGAACCUUACCAGGGUUUGACAUCCUGCGAACCCCUGAGAAAUCGGGGGGUGCCUUCGGGAGCGCAGAGACAGGUGGUGCAUGGCUGUCGUCAGCUCGUGUCGUGAGAUGUUGGGUUAAGUCCCGCAACGAGCGCAACCCACGUCUUUAGUUGCCAGCAUUCAGUUGGGCACUCUAGAGAGACCGCCGGUGAUAAACCGGAGGAAGGUGUGGAUGACGCCAAGUCAUCAUGCCCCUUACAUCCUGGGCUACACACGUACUACAAUGCUACGGACAAAGGGCAGCAAGCUCGCGAGAGUUAGCAAAUCCCAUAAACCGUGGCUCAGUUCAGAUCGUAGGCUGCAACUCGCCUACGUGAAGGAGGAAUCGCUAGUAAUCGCAGGUCAGCAUACUGCGGUGAAUACGUUCCCGGGCCUUGUACACACCGCC
rnacentral:rRNA from 1 species